CGGUAAUUCCAGCUCCAAUAGCGUAUACUAAAGUUGUUGCAGUUAAAAAGCUCGUAGUUGGAUUUCUGUGGGGGCGGAGCGGCCGGCCGCAACUCGCGGUUCGAGCUAGCGCUUCCCCUACAUCCUGCCGCGAACCGUGCUACCAUUAGUUUGGUGGCGCCGGGGAUCGGCUCGUUUACUUUGAGAAAAAUAGAGUGUUCAAAGCAGGCCACACGCCUUGAAUAAGUUAGCAUGGAAUAAUAAUAAAGGACUUCGGUUCUAUUUUGUUGGUGUUCGGGACUGAAGUAAUGAUUGAUAGGGACAGUUGGGGCGGUCAGUAUUCCAAAGCGAGAGGUGAAAUUCUUAGACCUUCGGAAGACUAACAGCUGCGAAAGCGUUCCGCAAGGAUGUUCCCUUUGAUCAAGAACGAAAGUUGGGGGAUCGAAGACGAUCAGAUACCGUCGUAGUCUCAACUAUAAACUAUACCAGCUAGGGAUCGGCCAACGUUAAAUUAUCCGACUUGGUCGGCACCUUAUGAGAAAUCAAAGCAUCUGGGUUCCGGGGGGAGUAUGGUCGCAAGGCUGAAACUUAAAGGAAUUGACGGAAGGGCACCACCAGCCGUGGAGCCUGUGGCUUAAUUUGACUCAACACGGGAAAACUUACCAGGUCCAGACAUAGUAAGGAUUGACAGAUUGAUAGCUCUUUCUUGAUUCUGUGGGUGGUGGUGCAUGGCCGUUCUUAGUUGGUGGAGUGAUUUGUCUGGUUAAUUCCGUUAACGAACGAGACCCCAGCCUGCUAAAUAGCGCGGUUGAGCUUUGCUCGGCGCGAGCUUCUUAGAGGGACUAUGAUGCGCGAUAGCACAUGGAAGUUUGGGGCAAUAACAGGUCUGUGAUGCCCUUAGAUGUUCUGGGCCGCACACGGGCUACACUGGCGCCUGCAACGAGCAUAUCAGCUGGCCCGAGAGGGUCUUGGCUAAUCUUUUGAACCGGCGCCGUGCUUGGGAUUGACCAUUGCAAUUGUUGGUCAUGCAACGAGGAAUGCCUUGUAAACGCGAGUCAUCAACUCGCAUUGAAUACGUCCCUGCUCCUUGUACACACCGCCC
rnacentral:rRNA from 1 species